rnacentral:rRNA from 1 species
ACUACACGAAGCCGGAAUCGCUAGUAAUCGCGGAUCAGAAUGCCGCGGUGAAUACGUUCCCGGGUCUUGUACACACCGCCCGUCACACCAUGGGAGUCGGAAAUGCCCGAAGUCAGUGACCCAACCGGAAGGAAGGAGCUGCCGAAGGUGGAGCCGGUAACUGGGGUGAAGUCGUAACAAGGUAUC